CAGAUAAUGGUGGCGAGUGUUUUGAUAGUGCUCGGUGUGUGGUGGCUGGUCCGAACUAUCCUCUCAGUACUAAUCAAUUUGAUCUGUCCAGUCUUGGUUGUAAUAGUCGCUGUGGUUUGUGUACCGCAGCUCCGAGCACCGUUGCUCGGACAGAACUACCCAAUGUUGGCUAACAUGCUACGAGAUAUACUGACGAAAUUAGCCGAUAACAUUCAUCCUUAAAAGUGAAAACGUUCUGUAAAAAUUGUAAUUUUUUUUAAUUACUAUGGCACUGUACAUUUUUAUUUGCGAUACAUUUUCUACAAAAUAAACCCUUUUUCAAUGAA